AAUUAAUAAAGAAAAAAGUGAAUAGAAAGUGAUUUCCGAAAACGAAGAGAGAGAAAGACAAAUAGAAGAAGCUGCAUUUGCAGAGACGCAUUCGCGUUUGUCUGAGAGAGAGAAUUGGAAGGUUGCGACGAGUGAUGAUAUACAUAUUGUGGCGGUAGUGAAAUCGAGGAAAAAGAGGUAGCAAUCGUGAGUUGCAAUGAGUAGCGAAAAGUCUCCUUCAUCAGCUUCUGCUUCAGCUUCUUCUUCGAGUAGCUACGAGUUGAGCAAAGGCAUCAAUGGCCUCGACAAGGUUAUUCUUCGCGACCCACGUGGUAGCUCCGCUGAGGUGUACUUGUACGGUGCUCACGUGACUUCAUGGAAGAAUGAACAGGCCGAGGAAUUGCUUUUUCUCAGUAGUAAGGCUAUAUUUAAGCCUCCAAAGCCAAUUCGUGGAGGGAUCCCAAUAUGUUUUCCUCAAUUUUCAAACCUCGGUCCUCUCGACUCGCAUGGAUUUGCUAGAAAUCGGUUCUGGACCAUUGAUGAUUCUCCUCCUCCUUUUCUGACAAAUACUCCGAGUAAAGCCUUUGUUGAUUUGAUUCUUAAACCCUCAGAAGACGACAUCAAGAUUUGGCCUCACAGGUAUACUUAGUAACAUUCAACAUUUUUAGCCUAUAUUUAGGGAGCAUUCUCUUAACCAAUACGUUUUUACUGCAUUUUUAUUUACUACUUGUUAUUUCAUAGUUUGAAUUUUUAUAUCACAUUGCUUUCUGAUGUCAUAUGCCAUUCUUUUUGCAUUAGUUUUGAAUUUCGUCUUAGGGUAGCUCUUGGAUCUGGAGGAGAUCUGAUGAUGACAUCUCGGAUCAGGAACACUAACAUUGAUGGGAAGCCAUUUUCAUUCACAUUUGCUAAUCAUACAUAUUUCUCUGUGUCAGAUAUAAGUGAAGUGCGGGUUGAAGGAUUAGAGACAUUGGAUUAUCUUGACAACUUGCAGAAAAGGGAACGCUUUACUGAACAGGGGGAUGCUUUAACAUUUGAAUCGGAAUUUGACAGGAUAUAUCUAAGCACUCCUACAAAGAUUGCAAUUCUUGAUCAUGAGAAGAAGAGAACAAUUGUAUUACGUAAAGAUGGUCUUCCUGAUGCUGUGGUGUGGAAUCCUUGGGACAAGAAAGCAAAGGCUAUGUCUGAUUUUGGUGAUGAUGAGUAUAAGUACAUGCUUUGUGUAGAGGCUGCUGCUAUUGAAAAGCCUAUCACUUUGAAACCUGGCGAGGAAUGGAAGGGAAGACUAGAACUUUCAACUGUUCCUUCUAGUUAUUGUAGUGGACAGCUUGACCCCAAAAAAGUUAUUCAAGGAAGCUGAAAGAUCUCGUUGUGUUUUGUGUCCUGUACAGCUCAAUUAAGUCGUGUCUUCUACAGGAACACAUGCCCCAAUGUGGAGCAGUUGGUUCGCUCUUCUGUUGCACAGAAAUUCCAACAGACUUUUGUGACUGCUCCUGCCACUCUUAGACUCUUCUUCCAUGAUUGCUUUGUGAGGGGUUGUGAUGCUUCGAUUUUGCUUGCAAAUGGUAAGCCAGAGAAGGAUCAUCCUGAUCAAAUUUCUCUAGCUGGUGAUGGCUUUGACACAGUGAUUAAAGCCAAGGAAGCUGUUGAUAGAGACCCUAAGUGCCGUAACAAAGUCUCUUGUGCUGACAUACUCGCUCUGGCUACUAGGGAUGUCGUCAAUUUGGCUGGUGGACCAUUUUAUAAUGUUGAAUUGGGAAGGCGUGACGGGAGAAUAUCUACUAUUGCCAGCGUUCAACGCCAUCUUCCUCACCCUGAUUUCAAUUUGGAUCAGCUCAAUUCCAUGUUUAAUUUUAAUGGCCUAUCCCAGACAGAUAUGAUUGCAUUAUCAGGUGCGCAUACAAUUGGGUUCUCUCACUGCAACAAAUUCUCGAAUCGAAUCUACAAAUUCAGCCCUAGAAACAGAAUCGACCCAACACUGAAUUUACAAUAUGCUUUUCAACUUAGGCAAAUGUGCCCCUUAAGGGUUGAUCCUAGAAUUGCCAUAAACAUGGACCCUGUCACGCCUCAAAAGUUUGACAACCAAUACUUCAAGAAUCUGCAGCAAGGAAAGGGUCUCUUCACUUCUGACCAGGUGCUGUUUACAGAUGCAAGGUCAAAGGCCACAGUCAACUUAUUUGCAUCAAAUGAAGGAGCAUUUCAGAAAGCUUUUGUUGAUGCUAUUACUAAGUUGGGAAGGGUUGGUGUUAAAACUGGAAAUCAAGGUGAAAUUAGGUUUGAUUGCACCAGGCCCAACUAGAAAAGUACCAGUGUUAUCACGAUUCCUAAUUAGAGUUUGUAUGAGCUUUUUUUUAGUGCACAACGGCCACAAUAAAAGUUUAAAUCUAAAAUCUUGUACGGAUUAUCCAAAACUUUUAUUAUUAGGCCGAUCUAGUGGGUUGACUUUGUAUGAGUUAUAUUUAACAAUUCAUUAUUGUAUUAAUAAUUGAUGAAGUUCUUUGAGCUCCAUUCAUUA